rnacentral:rRNA from 1 species
UAAGAGGUCCCGCCUGCCCAGUGACCACAGGUUUAACGGCCGCGGUAUUUUGACCGUGCAAAGGUAGCGCAAUCACUUGUCUUUUAAAUGGAGACCUGUAUGAAUGGCAUAACGAGGGCUUAGCUGUCUCCUUCCCCAAGCCAAUGAAAUUGAUCUCCCCGUGCAGAAGCGGGGCUACCCCCAUAAGACGAGAAGACCCUAUGGAGCUUUAGACACUAAGUGAGAUCGUGUCAAGUAACCCGGGCUAACGGGAUGAACUAGACGACCCCUCUCCUAAUGUCUUUGGUUGGGGCGACCCUGGGGAGAUGAGUAACCCCCAUGUGGAGUAGGAGAAUUUUACUCCCAAAGCCGAGAGCUAACCGCUCUAAGAAGCAGAAAUUCUGACCAUUUAGAUCCGGCAAUGCCGAUCAACGGACCGAGUUACCCUAGGGAUAACAGCGCAAUCCUCUCCUAGAGCCCAUAUCGACGAGGGGGUUUACGACCUCGAUGUUGGAUCAGGACAUCCUAAUGGUGCAGCCGCUAUUAAGGGUUCGU